AUUUACACUCCUCUGAGAUAACAGUAGUCUGUCACUGAAGCAUUCCCCCUUCUUGAGUCUGUACAGCAUAUGUGUACAGGAUCAAGAAAAUAGAACUCAUAAGAAACUGGACUCAUCACAAAGAUCGUCUCUCCUGCAUCUGCUUUGCUCUCCUUGUGCAAUGCUUUGUGGUUGUUGCAGUGGAAGAGGUGAAUCUUCUGAGCAGCAGAUGAGUGAGGAUGAGAUGUUUUAUUGCAGUCUUUGUGAAGUUGAGGUCUUCAAAUACAACAAACAUUGCAAAGUUUGUGGCAAAUGUGUGGACAGUUUUGAUCAUCACUGCAGGGUAUUAAAUAGAUUUGUCUGAUUUGUUUCAAUCCAUUCAUUCUAUUUUAAAUUUCUUAUCUUCUUUUGCUUAUGGAAUUGUGUUGUGUAGUGGAUAAACAACUAAUCGGUUCUUAUUAGUAUUUGUAUUUUCAAUAUGUUGUAAUGUCUUCUGUUUAAAAAAUUUUAUCUUCUUUCAUGUUA